rnacentral:hammerhead_ribozyme from 1 species
GUACAGCUGACAAGUCCGAAAUAGGACGAAACGCGUGUCCUGAAU